GUGCUCACUUCGGGAGCACAUAUACUAAAAUUGGAACAAUACAGAAAAGAUUAGCAUGGUCCCUGCGCAAGGAUGACACGCGUUCCAUAUAUGAAGCGUCCCAUGUUUUU